GUCUGCAGCCAUUCCACCCUGACUGACCUGAUCUUAGAAGCUGGGUAGGGUUGGGCCUGGUAGUACUAGAAUGGGAGGUGAGGUAAGAAAAUGCACCAACUGGGGCACCUGGGUGGCACAGCGGUUA
rnacentral:rRNA from 1 species